UAGCUUCAGGUUGUUGAUGAGCGGAGGC
rnacentral:sRNA from 1 species